GAGCGGACAGAUACGAAUCGGUCGAGGGCUUCACCCGCAGGCAAGGUCAUUUCAUAGCAGUCACAAGGUACAUAAGGAAUGGAAGCGGAGUUUGGACCGAGUGAACACAUCUGCAGGCCGAAGGCCGAAGCCGUGUGAGCGAGGAACAAACGAAGCGAGGCGAAACAAAAUAUAGGUCUGGUGACCAUAGCGGAGGGGAAACACCCGUACCCAUCCCGAACACGGACGUGAAGACCUCCAGCGCCGAGAAUACUUGUCUCGAGAGGGACUGGGAAGGUAGGUCGUUGCCAGGC
rnacentral:rRNA from 1 species